rnacentral:rRNA from 1 species
GACGAACGCUGGCGGCGUGCUUAACACAUGCAAGUCGAACGGAAAGGCCCUGCUUGCCGGGUGCUCGAGUGGCGAACGGGUGAGUAACACGUGGGUGCUUUGCCCCUUACUUUGGGAUACGCCUGGGAAACUGGGUCUAUUACUGGAUAGGACCAUGCUGUAGGUGGUGUGGUGGAAAGAUUAGUUUCGGUAAGGGAUGAGCUCGCGGCCUAUCAGCUUGUUGGUGGGGUAAUGGCCUACAAAGGCGUCGCCGGGUGGCCGGCCUGAGAGGGUGGAAGGCAAGGUUGGGACUCAGACGCGGCCCAGACUCCGACAGUAGGCAGCAGUGGGGGAAAUUGCACAAUAGGCACGAGCCGUGUGCAACGACGCCGCGUGGGGGAUGACGGCCUUCUGGUUGUAAACACCUUUCAUCCAUGACGAAGCCGUUGUGGUGACGGUAGUGGAAGAAUAAGCACCGGCUAACUACGUG